rnacentral:tRNA from 1 species
GCCCUCAUAGUACAAUGGAUAGUAUGCGAGCCUCCGAAGCUUGAGAUGCAGGUUCGAUUCCUGCUGAGGGCA